AACCCCAUUCUUCUAUUGUUGUGUGCAUGUAUGUUGCAUGCAUUACCUAGUAAUAGGUCUAUACACCAUAUUAUUAUAUAUGACUUAAAAUUCCAUUGAAAAAUAUAUUUUUGCAGAAAGCCUAUAUAGAGUGGAGUCCACUCUUUUCUUCAUUUGCCCAUUAGGACAGGUAAAUGCUACUUCACUGAUAUAUUCAACAUCAUUACUUCCUGAACAUAGAACUGCUUUAUUAAUAUAAUGUGUUCAAUCAGUUACAAUUGGACUCUUUCCUGACAUAUCAUUAAUAAUUGCUGCAGUGCCUUAAGUUGUUUUUAAAUAGCAAUGCUGUUGUAGCCCAAACAUGUACUGGGGACUAAGAAAUGACCACUGACAAUCACAGUGAGGAUCAAAGUACCAUAAGAGUUAAUUAAGGUUUAACUGGGACAAUGACACUAAUCUCAGUGGAAAACAUGUGUUAAAUAUGCUAUAUGCAUAAGAAAUAAAAAAGGAAUGCAAUUUAAAUGUGUUUAUGACACCAAAAAUGACACUCAUAUGUAUGGAAAAGCAUAUGUAAAAGGCCCAUUUAUACAUUUCAUCAUGAAAAAAUUUAAUCAAACAUACCAUAUUUCUUACCUUAGGAUGUGGUAGCUAUCAUGUAACUGGCUUUCUAUGGAGUCUGUGCUGUGACCAUUGAUAUGCAAUUGCUCGGUAAACACGUUCCAACAAUAGCUGUUUUCUGCGUGGUUAGUGCGGAAGCUAUAUAAAUAUAGGUACAUAUGGAACAGACAGGGGAGUAUUUGAGAGUUUUUAAGUGACAGUGACAGCCACAGGAAGUUCGUCAUGUGAAGACUUAGCAUGUGAUUGGAAGACUUGAAUUAUGUGUAAUAUUUGUAGUGAUCUGAAGCGCUAGUUUCUGUGUUGAGAUCCAUUACCAUGAGAGGACUAGUGUGCCUGUAACAGUGGGUUAUGAAGUUUAUGUAAAUCAGCGAUAGUGCUGUAUUUAAGUGUAAUUAUGAGAGAGUGUGUAACCAAGCUGCUAAUAAAUCCAAUCAUCUGAACUAGAACCCACCAUUUCGCCAUGCAUACCCCCCCUACAUGUGACAAUAUUUUCUGAUAAGGUGAACGCACAUCCUUUAUUCCUUGCUCAAAUUUUCUUCCCAUCAUAAGAUCUUUGGCUUUAAAAUAAUCAACAAUUUGAUCAGCUUUCUAAAAAAUUCUUGUAAGCCAUUCAGUUUUAAUCUUCUGUGAAUUUCAUCAUCAUCCUCACCAUCAUCUCUAGUUUCUUCCGUUGUCCAUUGAUCUAAUUUGGUUAAAUUCUCAUUAUUUAAUGGUUUGAAGUGAGAAUCCAGUAAUUCUACAUCAUCAUCUUCCACUUAACUAAAACCAGCAGUUUUGCACUCAUUGCCAUGAAAACCACAUAAGAGCAGGGACUUAUUACACGUAUUUCUUCAGUUGCUUGGCCACGGAAGUUCAGAGACGGUAUAGUAAGGGCUGUCUGUAUAAAUCCUGUCACCACUUAAAAUAACAACCUCUAAACUUUAUACUUGCUUCUAAAUAAAUCCAUUCUAAGUUAUAUUGCAUUUCUUCUAAGAAGCAAUGGCUAUCUCUGGAAUAAGAUAACAAAUAGAAUUCCUAUAUUAAUAUUUUCAAUUUAUGCGCACACAUACAUACACACUACUCCACUCUGACUCGAUUACUACUGGUCCUCUCUUUAUAGCUCUGGCAUGGACCAAAGAGAAAACACCAGUUCCAAUGGUUCCUCUAUUUUUGCAUCACCAGCUGUUGCUGCGGAAAUGUAUUUACCUCCCCGGUGCUUUGCAGUGGCCACCUCUUCUAGUUCCACUGUUCUGGCUUUCUGCUAUUGUGUCACAAUAUUAUUAUUUUAGGUAUUUUUUUAAACAGUUUGUUAAUGUGCAGAGGCCAUGUUUUUUAUUUGUUUUAUCACUUACAUUGGGAGAUGACUGAACUAUUUCGAAGUACCAUCUCAGCAUUUAUAUGGAGAGAGUGAGGUCAUCCAUAAACCAACUCAAUCAGAAUAGCUUGUAACUCAGCUGAGAUUUGAACUGAGUACCUAAUAAACACAAAUAUAAAGCAGUUCCACUACAACAACCUGCUCAGUUUUAUUAAUUGCUACCAUACUUGAUAGUAAAUAUGAGUCCUGGGUUCAAUUCUUGUUCCUACUAACCAUUCACAUAAUAAAAAUUAAGAAAUAAUGUGUCGCUAUUAUGGCUAUUACAUAUUGAACUUAAUAAGCAAACUGCAACUGUAGAUUCAUCUCUGACUUUAAAUAUGUAUUCUGCAUGUAGCAUAUUGGAUGAUGCAUGUAGACAUGAGUCAGUAACUGAAAAAAAAAUAUGAAGCAUUUUUGUUUGUUCCCAGAAAAGUUCAUUAUUAGUUUCAUAUAUUUACUUCAAGAGUCAAUUCAAUUUAGUUCAAAAUUUUUCAACAGUGUCAAGAUCAGUGAUAAGAGUCUAUCUACUUUACAAACCAGCAUACCUCUCACCUUGCAUAGGAGACCAUAUGGAAGAAGUGUCCUAUGUACAUAUGCUUGAAUAUCCCAGCAUUGUAUGCAUACUGGAAAUAUGUUGAAAAUAGAACCCAGUAAUUUUCCAUUGACCGAAGUGAACGGAGAAGUUCAUGGAGCCUCCCACAGUGAAGCAAGCGCUACCCAAUCUGCGCUUGCCACAGCAGCUCCAAUGCCCAUUGGUUAGCGUGCCGCUCAGCGACAGCAGUACAAAGAUGUGGACCCUGUUUAGUGUCCUGUAGGCACAUACACAGUCGCCUUGAAGGAGGUAAAAGCCAUGCUGAAGGCAAGCAGCCCAGCUGGUCAGCCUGAGUCACUCAAGUCUGCUACCAUUCAGGAGGAUGGUUUCAAAGAAGUCUGGUGGUGCAAGUGGCACGAAACCAACGAUACUGCCCUGACUUAAAAAAAAGCAGUGUCUGCCGCCAAAGUCACACACCUCUGAGGAGGUUGCCAUCUGCAACUUUUUCGCCCCCCUAAGGACUUCUAUGGAUACCGACAACGCCGGUGCAGAGGCUGCUACACUUGAGACAGUCCCUGGCAAAGCAGAAUCAGGGGUCCAACUGUAAAUUUCGUCCUAACAGUAGUAUGUGAGCUCAUCAUGUUAACUGUGACAUCUCCUUCUCGCCG